CAGCCGCCACGGUAAUACGUAGGGUGCGAGCGUUAAUCGGAAUUACUGGGCGUAAAGCGUGCGCAGGCGGUUUGUUAAGACAGAUGUGAAAUCCCCGGGCUUAACCUGGGAACUGCAUUUGUGACUGGCCGGCUAGAGUAUGGCAGAGGGAGGUGGAAUUCCACGUGUAGCAGUGAAAUGCGUAGAUAUGUGGAGGAACACCGAUGGCGAAGGCAGCCUCCUGGGCCAAUACUGACGCUCAUGCACGAAAGCGUGGGGAGCAAACAGGAUUAGAUACCCCUGUAGUCCCUGUCUCUUAUAC
rnacentral:rRNA from 1 species